GCCAGAAGCAGUGGCAUGUCUGUAAUCCCGGCUGCUCAGAAGUCCAAGCUUGGAGGAUAGCUUGAGCUCAGGGGACAUCAAUGGUAGUGGCCCUGUGUCGACCAGGUGUCCAUGCUAAGUUUGGAGUCAGCAUUGUGCUCCUGGGUGACCCUAGAGCUACCAGGUUGAUUAAGGAGAAGAUAACCUGCUUAGGUCAGAAACAGAGCAGGUCAAAGUCCCUGUGUCGGUCAGUAAUGGGAUCAUGCCUGUAAGCUGGUACUUUGACCCAAACAGGGUGAUAAAGUGAGACACAUCCUAGAUUUA
rnacentral:SRP_RNA from 1 species